rnacentral:rRNA from 1 species
UACGUAGGUGACCAGCGUUGUCCGGAUUUACUGGGCGUAAAGAGCGCGCAGGCGGUCGUUCAAGUCGAGUGUGAAAGCCCCCGGCUCAACUGGGGAGGGUCAUUCGAUACUGAUCGACUUGAAGGCAGGAGAGGGAAGUGGAAUUCCCGGUGUAGUGGUGAAAUGCGUAGAUAUCGGGAGGAACACCAGUGGCGAAGGCCACUUCCUGGCCUGUUCUUGACGCUGAGGCGCGAAAGCGUGGGGAGCAAACAGG